rnacentral:rRNA from 1 species
UACAGAGGUGGCAAGCGUUGUUCGGAAUUACUGGGCGUAAAGGGCGCGUAGGCGGUUUCGUAAGUCCCGUGUGAAAGCCCCCCGGCUCAACUGGGGAAUUGCACGGGAAACUGCGAGGCUUGAGUUCGGGAGAGGGGAGCGGAAUUCCGGGUGUAGCGGUGAAAUGCGUAGAUAUCCGGAGGAACACCGGUGGCGAAGGCGGCUCACUGGCCCGUUUCUGACGCUGUAGCGCGAAAGCGUGGGGAUCAAACAGG